rnacentral:misc_RNA from 1 species
GGCUGAUGGCUGCUACGUUACAUAACAACUGUUAUUUGAAACCAUAGGUAUGGCACCCUUUCCCCUAAAAGUUAACCAUACAUCAUGAGCAAAGUAAUGAGAUAUUAAAAAAAGCAUAAAUUAUCAAUACCACAUUAGUUGCAAGAAAAUUAAUGGCCCUACGAAAUUGGUUCACUUUUGCCUUCAAUAGGGGUUAACAGAUAGUAGAAAUGACGGCUUGAUCACAUAUCACUUGCAGUUUGGUCUUCAAUAGGCAAGAAAGUGUAUAUGCAUGGUACAAAGAAAACAAGAAGCAAGUACACAGGCACACUUUUGUUAGAAUUGUACAAUUUGAUUCGAUUCCCCAUCCCAAUGUGAUAGAAGCAGCCCAUUAGUGAA